rnacentral:rRNA from 1 species
AGCUUGCUCUUCUGGAUGAGUUGCGAACGGGUGAGUAACGCGUAAGUAACCUGCCUGGUAGCGGGGGAUAACUAUUGGAAACGAUAGCUAAUACCGCAUAAGAGUAGAUGUUGCAUGACAUUUACUUAAAAGAUGCAAUUGCAUCACUACCAGAUGGACCUGCGUUGUAUUAGCUAGUUGGUGGGGUAACGGCUCACCAAGGCGACGAUACAUAGCCGACCUGAGAGGGUGAUCGGCCACACUGGGACUGAGACACGGCCCAGACUCCUACGGGAGGCAGCAGUAGGGAAUCUUCGGCAAUGGACGAAAGUCUGACCGAGCAACGCCGCGUGAGUGAAGAAGGUUUUCGGAUCGUAAAGCUCUGUUGUAAGAGAAGAACGAGUGUGAGAGUGGAAAGUUCACACUGUGACGGUAUCUUACCAGAAAGGGACGGCUAACUACGUGCCAGCAGCCGCGGUAAUACGUAGGUCCCGAGCGUUGUCCGGAUUUAUUGGGCGUAAAGCGAGCGCAGGCGGUUAGAUAAGUCUGAAGUUAAAGGCUGUGGCUUAACCAUAGUACGCUUUGGAAACUGUUUAACUUGAGUGCAAGAGGGGAGAGUGGAAUUCCAUGUGUAGCGGUGAAAUGCGUAGAUAUAUGGAGGAACACCGGUGGCGAAAGCGGCUCUCUGGCUUGUAACUGACGCUGAGGCUCGAAAGCGUGGGGAGCAAACAGGAUUAG